AUGAAAAAAAUCUUGGAAGUAGAGCUUAAGAAAGACAUUAAAUGAAAACUAUAGCGGAUAUGAUCAGUUUAGCUGUUGAGUUAUCGCAAAAAGUUUCCCCUUCGUAGUAAAAAGACGCACACCCACAGUUCAUCCCUUGGUUAACAAUCAACCAUACUUUAAGCUCCAGUUUAGCUUAUUGUGACGGAAGAGUAACUACGGAACCCUACUCUGAGCAUGGCCCGACAUGCUCUUGGCCGGUUUUAUUUUAUAUAAAUUUGCCAAACCGAAACUCUAAUCUAAGAGACUAAUUAAUGUCUCCAUAUUACUAAAGUUGUUUGACAUUUUAUACCUACAAAUAACCCAAAGACACCAUUCCACAAUAAUUUGAUUAAUCUAACUAUGCAUAAAUAUCUUAUUCAUCUACGUCGGCUGAAUAAUAAAUAAUCGAUUGAAUGAAUAAAUCAGCCCACGCGCAGCUACCUGGAAUAUUAAUCAUGUUGCUAUUUACGUUAUUAUUUAUAUCGACAUAACUAGGUGGCGCUUGUUAUAAGAAGUAUUUAUAGUCUAGCAUGGCGUUUAUAACCGGUAAGGCUUUAAUAUUUAACCGUAAUCAUGCUACGAGGAGCGAUUGGCGACACAAAUUAUCAAGCCAUAAAUUCUAUUGUGCUAAAGAUUUAUUUUUAACCAGCUAAGAGCAUGUCGAUAUAGAGUAAAGCUUAAAACAUCUACUCUGUUCAAAUUAAACGCGAAUGCAUCAAACUGAAUACCUAUCCGUUCUAUCCAACCAUAGGGAGAAAUAAAAAAUUCAUACCCAAGUGACAUGUAGGGGAAGUACCCUAUUUUUACCGUCUUCAGAGUACUUUUUGAUAAGUACCAAUGUUAUAUGAGGCAUUGGCAUAUAUCUAAGGACAGGCCUUACAGACAUUAAGAAUGGUGCUAGUUCAGUGGUGUCACUUACCAAUUCAAGCCAAUUGUGCAGUCUAACGCAACUAGUUGUGACCAAUGCGAACUCAUCAACCAAUCGCGUUGUGGCGUUAGAUUACACGAUUGGUUCGAGUUCGUGUGCAUGACACAGCUGUACUGGCCCCAUUCUUAAUCUUAUUGCCGGUAAGGCCUUCUUUAGAUAUAUGUCAAUGCAGAGGUAUUUUGCGAACUGCCGGACAGACAGUCGGACAUGGCGAAAUUAUGAGGAUUAAUAUACAUGUUGAAUAUGUUACCUUAAAAAGUAUGUAACGUUAUAGUAUUGUUACGGCUAGCAGUUGGUAGUAGAGAUGAUUAUCAUCGUCAUACGGGCAGUCAGCAUAUUGAUGCUGAUUGAGGUUUCAUUCGCUACUAUUACUGUUGGUCUCGAACCAUUUUUUCCCAAUGACUCCGGUCCUGGGCAGCUUGGGUAACCUCCUCCCACCCCAAUGCACCCAACUCCUGUUCCACGGAACAGCGCCAAGUAGAUUUAGGGUGACCAUGUUUCCGUUUUCCGGGCAUCUUCCAGGUCAGGGCCACUUUGGAUAGGGGGUGCGUCCUAUAAUAUAUACGCACUUUUGGAAUAAUUUCAGUUUACAAACGUUAAAAAUGUAUACUAAUCUUAUGUAUAAUAAAGUAAACGUAUACUUUCAAUUAGUAUAACAUAAAAAUAAUAUAACAUACGACAUACAUAUGGCUGUUUGGUAUAAUAUACAUAUAAGUUAAGCUCAUUUCAUAUAACUGUCAUAAUAUAUACAUAUUAAAAUAUAAAUAUCAUCUUAUAUAAUUAAGUAGUAAAAUUAGUAGGAUGACCUAGAAUUUCAAACCUCAUAGAACACACUACUAGAAAAAAAACUGCUAAAAGUGGGUUAGGUUAGGUUAGAACUGUGACCCUCUAGAUAAAGAAAUUAGCACCAGAAUUACCACAGAAAAAAGCUGCAAUCUGUAAUCGAUAAAUACGGAGCAAACUACGUUGAAAUAUAAAUUCGCAUAGUAUAUAUGUUUCAAAUACAUUGCUCAUUUCAUAAUAAUUAAAAAAAAAAACAAAUACACACACAACACAAACACAAAUAGUAGGCGCUUAUUUUUAAUGUAUGAUAUUUGUUUUGUAUGUUAUAUUAUUUCAACGUUAUACCUUUCUAAUGUUAUCGUAAACAAUGAUAUAUGUAGUGUUUAUUAUACAAUUUACAAUUAUAGAAUUCGUUGUUAUACAUAUUGCAUGUUAUUGCAAUUGAAUGUUAUUCCGAUCAAAAUUAUACAAAUUGAAUUUAUACAUU